rnacentral:rRNA from 1 species
UACGUAGGGUGCAAGCGUUAAUCGGAAUUACUGGGCGUAAAGCGUGCGCAGGCGGUUUUGUAAGUCUGUCGUGAAAGCCCCGGGCUCAACCUGGGAAUUGCGGUUGAAACUGGCGAACUAGAAUCUGGCAGAGGGGGUGGAAUUCCACGUGUAGCAGUGAAAUGCGUAGAGAUGUGGAGGAACACCGAUGGCGAAGGCAGCCCCCUGGGCUGAGAUUGACGCUCAGGCACGAAAGCGUGGGGAGCAAACAGG